AUCUCAGAUUAUAUCAGUAAAUCUACUAACUGAGUAGAGAUGUGUGUUGAGGCAUGUGUGUUUUGCAGAAUCCCAUGUUCAUUUCGGUCAGGUCUCACUGGGUUGUGUGAUAUGAGCAGUGCUGUGCACUAAAAGCGUUCCUAUUUUUGUGAACGCUGAACUGAAAGAAUCCGUUUGCAAAUGAUGAACGUUAACGUAAGCGGCGCGCACACACAAGCAAGUUUUUUUUUUUUAGCCAUCACGUGAACCAGGAGCGGGCGAAAAUGCGCGUCCCCUCCACAUACACGCGCAGUUGCGCACACACCGUCCCCGUGGCCCUGCCACCACUCACUCACUCAGAGCGAGCGACAGUUGGAUCAGAGGAACGUUCGGGGGAAGUAGCCGGUAAGUGACUAUUUUGAAGAACAGUGGAAACAAACACAGUUUCUCCACAGUAAUCAGAAGGUUGGGUUUUACAGAGCGGGAGUUUCAGUGUCCUGUCUUAAUGCCAGGGGUGGGGAACGUCCGGCCUCCGGGCCGCGAGACCAUUUCAGCCGGCCCACAACACAUUAACAUUUUUAUAUUUUAUAUAUGCACUUAUAGUAUGAAUUAAUAAAAAUCAUGAAUUAGUUUUUUGAAAACGCGCUUCAUCACAGCGUCUUCUCACUCUUUUUCGUUGGUUGUUAAGCACCGCUGUUAGUAGAAGAAGAAGAAGAAGAAGAAGUAGUGCUGGAGCUGAACAGCGCCACCCUAACCCCAAUGUAAUACAAUGUUAAUUUGUGGUCAGGAGAAGAAGUGCAACAAUAAAUAUUAAAAGAGAUAUUCCGACUGCUGACACAUAAUAAUAGUUAAAAGUAUUAACAAUUUGAGCAUGGACAGCGGGCCAAAAAUAUAAUUUUUCAACAGCCAUAUAUUAACAAAUGUUACUCAAUCUUUCACACAUUGUGCACUUUUUGGUUUCAAUUUUACACAUGUGGAUAAACCUUUUGUAUAAGGGACUCAUUUCCCUUUCUUUUUUCUCCACAGACAUUCAUGUGGCAAUGCAAACAGUGCAAGACAGUGACAUCAUCACGGUUUCUACUUCUGAAGCACUACAGAGUAACUGUUGGGUUGGACAAAAAAUGACAACCCCAGUUAAACUUCGGAUUAUCAUGGGAGAAAACAACUCCGAAAAAUUGACUCUGCCUUCUGGAAUACCAGAGUCAGUAGAAGUCCUCAAACUUGAGAUCAAGAGACAAUGUGCAGUUUCAGGACUUCCGGCUACAAUACAUGGACGUUGAUUUUGACGAAUUUAUAAAUCUGACCUCAACAGCGGCUCUCCAACACUUGGGCACGGUUAAAGUGAUCACAAAUGCACAGGAAGCAACUGGUGAAGGUAGUACUCCUCAGGUACUGAGAAGUCUCUCAGUGGAAUCCACUUCCCUUUCUUCUACCGACACCGAGAUACUCUCUACCCCUGAUUCAUCACCAUCACCAACCUCGAUGCUGAGAUCUCAGGCCUGGCCAGCAAGCUUCCCUAUUCCACAGUUUUCCUAUGAAGUAGAGCUGCAACUUGUGAAAGCCAAUCAGGAAUAUCACAAAAAUGGCACCCUCCUCAACCCAAGCCCAAAACUCAAGUCUGCAAUUUUAGAGUCCUUGGCUUCUGUAAUAAUCAAGUACAAAGCAUACCCUACAAGUGCAGAGUUUGAUGAUGUUGCAGAGGCUUUGAUUAAAACACAUGCAUGCCUAAAGGAGCAAGGUUCUGUGACAGGAUUCUACGGUUGGAAGAUUAGUUUAAAAUAUAAAAUGGCAAAUUAUCACAGUAGCCUGAGAAACAUAACCUCUGAAUUGAGCAUCAAUUCCAUGAAACGCAGAGGAGGCCACACAAGUCCAAAUCAAGUGAAGAAACCGAGGAAAGCUGAGGUGAAUUUUUUGCCAGACUAUCCAGUUGGCGAAAACCAAAAGACUCUUGAGAAUGAGAGGUUGGAAUUACUGUCUGAGGUCAAGAAGAGGGACAACAAUCAAAUCAUAAAAGUGAAGAUGGACAAAACUUUUGCCUACAGGAGGAAAGAAGUUGUAGUCGACAUGCCCUCCAUUGCAGAAUUUCAAAGCAGAUGGCCAGCUCUUUUUGCUGAAAGUGAGAUAAGUGCAGAAUUUACACGUAUUACCACCAUCCCACUGAUGUCCAAGUUUAUGUCAGAACUUGACCACCACUCUGCUAAGCUGUCCAGGGUGUGCCUUAAGAAGUGAGGAGUAGCAGGUCGCAAGAUUGCAGAGAUCAUGGCUUCCAUCAACGAGAAUGACACCAUUGCUACAAGGAGGGCUUGCAACCUGAAAUCACUUGCUGUGUAUUUAAAUGAAGACCCAGAGAAGCUCAUCAAGGAAUAUCUGGAUGUGAACUUUGAUAAUGCCCAGAGCGAACUGGAUAUGACAGCCCUUGGGAUCUACGUCAUCAAACAUGAGGGUGCAGAUGCCUCCAAUCCACCAGAAGAUGUAGGGAUCAUUGUUGAGGGUGUCGUCAUGCUCAAGCACAUUGGAGAUCUCGCCUGUGCCGUUGCUCUGCUGUUUGGGCUCAUCUACAAUCUGAAUUUGAGCUACCCGCCUGAUCUCAAGUACAGUUUUGAAUUUCUUCAGAAAGUCCUGAUGGGAAUUGAUACCCAUCGCUUUUCAAACAAGGUCCAGGUACUGAAGAAUAAACUUCAUGAAUGAGGUGAGGGAUCUUUGAGCCAUGCAGGGAGAGAAGUGGUUUUAUUGACUGUUCUUAUGCUCUGUCAAGUUGCUUGACAGAUUGUUGUCCCUGUUGUCACUCUCUCUCACCUGUGCUCGUCAGGUUUCACUGUACUUGCCUGUGAUAGUAAUAUUAUUAGGAUAGUUCUUAAAUGAUGUCUUUAGUGGAGGAAAACACUAGUGGAAGCUAGUGAUUUUCUGAGAAAUGCAUUAUGGCAAUAUGCACUUCAGCUGUUCUAUGCACUUUACCUCCUAUGUCUGUUUUUGAGAAAAUGUUUUAGGCAAGAAACAAACUACUUUGAAUUCCAGUAGAACUAUAAUGAGAUUCUUGUAACCCCUUAAUGUUUUACGUCUGCACUUAAAGGUAUAGUUCGGUAUUUUUGAACCUGGGCCUUAUUUCUGUCAUGGGGUGCCUUAAUCUACUAACUGGUAGCAUUUUGGUGAAGAUCUGCGUAGUUUUGACGCUGUUCAGACCAUCGAGAUCGAGCGUAUAUCCAUAUG